rnacentral:rRNA from 1 species
CAGUAGCCGCGGGAAUACGGAGGGUGCGAGCGUUAAUCGGAAUAACUGGGCGUAAAGGGCACGCAGGCGGUGACUUAAGUGAGGUGUGAAAGCCCCGGGCUUAACCUGGGAAUUGCAUUUCAUACUGGGUCGCUAGAGUACUUUAGGGAGGGGUAGAAUUCCACGUGUAGCGGUGAAAUGCGUAGAGAUGUGGAGGAAUACCGAAGGCGAAGGCAGCCCCUUGGGAAUGUACUGACGCUCAUGUGCGAAAGCGUGGGGAGCAAACAGGAUUAGAUACCCCCGUAGUCCCUGUCUCUUAUAC